rnacentral:rRNA from 1 species
AGUAGCGGUAAAAUGCGCAGAUAUCGGGAAGAACUCGGAUGGAGAAGGCAACUUCCUGGGGUGUACCUGACGCUAAGUGAGCGAAAGCUAGGGGAGCGAACAGGAUUAGAGACCCUGGUAGUCCUAGCUGUAAACGCUGGGUGCUAGGUGUGGGGCGUAGAAGCUCUGUGCCGGAGCGAACGCGAUAAGCACCCCGCCUGGGAAUUACGGUCGCAAGGCUAAAACUCAAAAGAAUUGACGGGGCCCCGCACAAGCAGCGGAGCGUGUGGUUCAAUUCGAUGCUACACGAAGAACCUUACCUGGGUUUGACAUGUACGUGGUAGAGAAGCGAAAGCGGAUUGGCCCUUCGGGGAGCGUACACAGGUGCUGCAUGGCUGUCGUCAGCUCGUGCCGUGAGGUGUCGGGUUAAGUCCCGUAACGAGCGCAACCCUUGCCCUUAGUUACAAGUGUCUAGGGGAACUGCCGGCGGGAACCCGGAGGAAGGUGGGGAUGACGUCAAGUCAGCAUGGCCCUUAUGUCCAGGGCUACACACACGCUACAAUGGUCAGUACAAAGGGUAGCGAAGCCCCGAGGUGGAGCGAAUCUCAGCAAAACCGAUCGUAGUUCGGAUUGCAGGCUGCAACCCGCCU